AUUUAAAUUUAAAAAACCACCACAUUAAUGUUACUGUCUGCAAAGCACUGAAAGUCCUGGGUUUCUUAAAACGUAACACUAAAAUAUUUAGCUCUGUCCACUGUCUUUGUACACUUAACCUAUUCCUUGUACACCCAAUUUUAGAGUACUGUAUAAUAGUUUGACACUCUCAUUUAGUGAAAGACCAGUUAAGACUAGAGACAGUCCAGAAUAGGUUUCUUUCAUAUAUCUAUUCCCUACUUAAAAUUGUGCAUCCACAACAUAACUACUACUAUACUUUUAAAACUAAAGAUCUCCACGCUUUCUUUUCAACAAAUUGAUACUGAUUUUUGUUUUAUUCAAAGUCUACUUGAUGAUUCAAUAUGUUAUGUGCCCACACGUGCCCCCAGCAAGAGGCAGGCUGUAUAUGGUGCUAAUCACCACAUAUGGAACCGAAUACCUACCAGUAGGCAUGUAAAAAUACACAGCACC